AAGUCGUAACAAGGUUUCCGUAGGUGAACCUGCGGAAGGAUCAUUAAUGAGAACGCGUGGCUCAUCCGCUCAGCGGCGGGGCCACCUCUCCACCCUUGUGUUUUACCUCACCGUUGUUGCUUUGGCGGGCCGGCAGUUUAGCGGCCGGCCGGCUCCUUUGUGGGGCUGGCCAGCGCCCGCCAGUGGAACGCAUCAUGCUGUUUAAGUCUUGAAGUCUGAGCUGCAGAGCAAAUACUCAGCAAAACUUUCAACAACGGAUCUCUUGGUUCUG
rnacentral:misc_RNA from 1 species